CUCUUCAUUCAGUAUGCUUUGCAUAAAAUCAUCCAUAUCUUUCCAAAACUUUUGUUUACUCUCACCAUCUAGUCCUAUUUGUGGGGCACAAACAUUAACUACAUUUAUUGUUUCUCCUUUUAGUACUAGCUUUACUAGUAUUAUUUUAUCUCCUACUCUUUUCACAACUACUACAGCGUCUUUCAAUGUAUUGUCUAUGAUU
rnacentral:misc_RNA from 1 species